GCUCCCAUAGUUCAACGGAUAGAACAGCGGCCUUCUAAGCCGUAGAUGUAGGUUCGAUUCCUACUGGGAGUACCA
rnacentral:tRNA from 3 species